UUUACGAUGUGUUCAUAUAUCGCUUUGUAGUGCUGUAAUGUGCAAAUUAGCGGACUUUAUAGCGGCUCUCUAUUUUCCGUCGUUGUCUUUCGAGCAGCGCCUGUUGUUCCGGUAAAAAUCGAGUUGAAUGAAUCGCCACAGCCCCAACGUAUAUCGCGCAGUGUUGACCAAGACCAAGUCAAGCAGGAAUUCUGGCAUGGUAUGUGGCUGCACGAAGGAUUCCGGAAAAGAAAAACAACAACAUGGCUAAUAGGAUGUUGCUGCCCAGGGAGUCCUGGCGAAGAGGUUUACUCAUUCCAGAAGCAAGAAUUGUAUCAUUGUAAGGCGAAUGGAAAUAAACUGACAUCGACUGAGA